AUUGAACGCUGGCGGCAGGCCUAACACAUGCAAGUCGAACGAGUGGCGGACGGGUGAGUAAUGUCUGGGAAACUGCCCGAUGGAGGGGGAUAACUACUGGAAACGGUAGCUAAUACCGCAUACCAUCGGAUGUGCCCAGAUGGGAUUAGCUAGUAGGUGGGGUAACGGCUCACCUAGGCGACGAUCCCUAGCUGGUCUGAGAGGAUGACCAGCCAAACUGGAACUGAGACACGGUCCAGACUCCUACGGGAGGCAGCAGGGGGGAAUAUGGCACAAUGGGCGCAAGCCUGAUGCAGCCAUGCCGCGUGUAUGAAGAAGGCCAUCGAGUUGUAAAGUACUUGCAGAGAGGAGGCGUUACCCGCAGAAGAAGCACCGGCUAACGCCGUACCAGCAGCCGCGGUAAUAC
rnacentral:rRNA from 1 species